rnacentral:rRNA from 1 species
CAGCCCCGUACACAAAAGCUCACAUGCUGUGAGCUCGAUGAGUAGGGCGGGACACGUGGUAUCCUGUCUGAAUAUGGGGGGACCAUCCUCCAAGGCUAAAUACUCCUGACUGACCGAUAGUGAACCAGUACCGUGAGGGAAAGGCGAAAAGAACCCCGGCGAGGGGAGUGAAAAAGAACCUGAAACCGUGUACGUACAAGCAGUGGGAGCACCCUUUACCUGUGUGACUGCGUACCUUUUGUAUAAUGGGUCAGCGACUUAUAUUCUGUAGCAAGGUUAACCGUAUAGGGGAGCCGUAGGGAA